rnacentral:rRNA from 1 species
AACGAACGCUGGCGGCAUGCCUAACACAUGCAAGUCGAACGAGACCUUCGGGUCUAGUGGCGCACGGGUGCGUAACGCGUGGGAAUCUGCCCUUGGGUUCGGAAUAACAGUUAGAAAUGACUGCUAAUACCGGAUAAUGUCUUCGGACCAAAGAUUUAUGCCCAGGGAUGAGCCCGCGUAGGAUUAGCUAGUUGGUGAGGUAAAGGCUCACCAAAGGGCGACGAUCCUUAGCUGGUCUGAGAGGAUGAUCAGCCACACUGGACUGAGACACGGCCCAGACUCCUACGGAGGCAGCAGUGGGAAUAUUGGACAAU